AUGGCUCGCAUUAAGCAGACUGACCUCAAAGCCACCGCCUGGCAGGCCCCCAGGAAGCUGUUGGCCACCAAAGCUGCUGGCAAGAGGGUCCUGGCUACAUGAGGGAUCAAGAAGCCUCACCGCCACAGGCUUGGCACCCUGGCACUGCACAAAAUCAGGAAGUACCAUAAGUCCACGCAGCUGCUUCUGCACAAGCUGACCUUCCAAUGCCUAAUGCGUGAGAUCACCCAGGCCAUCAACCCAGACCUGCGCUUCCAAUGUGCGGCCACUGGCGACUUCAGGAGAACAGCGAGGCCUACCUGGUCCCCCUAUUUAAAGACAACAACCCAUGGGUUAUCCAUCCCUGGCAUGUCACAAUCAUGCCCAGAGACAUGCAGCUGUCCCGCCACCUCCGCGGAGAGGGUGC
rnacentral:lncRNA from 1 species